CCUAUAAAUUGAGCAGUCCAUGGAGGCCCAAGGCCUCCAAUAAUCGCCCAGCCCAACCAGUGCGGCCUCUUCUUCCUCAUCAUUCUGUCUGUCUGUCCCGGUGUCCCCUGACCUGUGCAAAACUCGCACUCCAGUCUCCUCUCCCCAGCUUCUUGCGAUGCCUCCACCCCAUCGAUAAACCCUAGCUCCUCCCAUCCCAGCUCGUCUCUCCCAUCAGGAUACCAAUACCAGGACCACUAUGCCUGCUGGUGAUAACCCACACUCAAUCUCAGAGAAAAAGGCAGCAUUGCGGGAGUCUCCAAAACAGAGUAAGAUCGUUGUUAACGAGCAACCCAGGACUUCCUUUUCUAAAGACAAAGUUGCUGCUACAGUUAGCCUCAAGCGACAACAGCCUUAUGGCCCCCUGAGUCCAUCCAACCACCACACGCUAGGCAAUCCGGGAGCAAAUGGCCAUCUUGUGUAUGUGCGCAGGAGGCCUGACACUGAUCAAAGCAAAGGAGGCACUUCUGCUCGUGCUGAAAGUGUCAGUUCUAUGAGCACAAAGAAACCUAUUGCAGGAGGAUUGCAGUCACAGGAACAAAGUCUGAAGCAUCAGGACAAUGUAUCUCACACCCAGUUUGCUCCUCGAUUUUCAUCUCCUGCUUUGCAAUCCACAGUUUUGCCGUCUCAACAUUCUUUUGAGAAGCAAUCUCCUGGGAAGGUUGCUGUUCGGCCAACUAAUGAUGUGAUUACUAGUCUGCCACCAAGCAAUGUGGCAUCCUCUACUCCAGUGGUUCAAAGUGCUGCAGCUGCUAAUUUGGCGACUAGCAGUGUUUUGGCUACUAGUGUAGCAGCUACCCUAGCACCUGAUCAAGCUGAUCCACCGAGAUCAAGCAAUCAAGAUUGGAGUGAUAGAUUUAUUCAGCUGCAGGCAUUCUUGAGGAAUAAUGAACAAUCAGGCAAGGAAGAAUAUAUCCGCAGUAAGCAAUCUACAGGAAAGAUUGCUGCUCAGCCAACUAAUGAUCUGACUACUAGUCCGCCACCUCGCAAUGUGAUGUUCUCUACUACAGUGCUUCAAAGCUCUGUGGCUGCUAACUUAGCACCACGCGGUGUUUCAGCUAAUAACACAGCAUCCCGAGCUGCUAUAUCUGCUGCUAAUUUAGUAUCUAGCAGUGUUUCGCCUACUAAUACAGCAUCUACUGAUGCUAUAUCUGCUACAACUCAAGCACCUAAUAGAGCUCAUCCACCAAGAUCAAGCAAUCAAGAUCGAAGUGAUAGAUUUCUUCGGCUGCAAGCAUUCUUGAGAAAUAAUGAGCAAUCAGGGCAGGAAGAAUAUAUCCGCACUGUUGUAUUGAUCUUAUAUAUGUUGUGUCCUUUGGUUGAACUGUAGUGCUUCGGUCUUUGUCAUCUGUUGGACGAAGUAAGCAUGCUAUUGAACUGGAGAAACGGGCAGCCAAUCUAUUGAUCGAGGAAGGGAAGGAGUUGCAGAAGAUGAAAGUUCUGAAUGUACUGGGCAAACUUUCGCCCACUGAUGCUCCAUCAGCUCAGCCCGCUACUGUCAAGCAUCUGCCAUUCCCAGCUCAACGAUGAAGGGAGUGGGAGAUUCGCUUAUGUUGCCGCAUAAUAGGUGUUCAAUGAUUUCUGAACUCUUGCCACCUGAAUGCUGUGUUAUGGUCAUAAUUGCUGUCUUGUCUGUGAGAACAAGCCUUGAAUAUCCAUCCGGAUGAGUUAGAGUAGAUUGACUGACGUGCCCUCAUGGUGUAAGCAUUAUCAUGGUGGUAUCUUACUCA